CGAGAUAUCAAUUUGGAGAAUAUAUACAGAUCUAUAAAACCAAGUUCUUUGAGUGCCAAACAACAAUUAGAUAAAGAGCAGAGUAGAAAUCAUCAUGAAAAAAGAAAUUAUUUGACUAGAAAUGACAUGCAUACCACGAAUGAUAUAACUGGCAACCUAAGAACAAUGGAGGAGAAUGUGAAGCAGGAGCCAAAGAAAAAUGAUGCACAUGACAACCAAAGAAUAAAAAACGAGGAUGUAAGACAACAAAAUCAUUUAAAUAGAUUCAAUUGGUAAACGAUUUUGACAUCUUAAAAAGAAAUAAGAGAAGGAAAAAAGGAAGAUAUCGAAACAAAAAACUAUUUACUAAUAUAAUAGAUACUGUGCCACUAG